AUGGCCAUGGUCCUGGAUGCCUUCGCAUCCUACGUGCAAAACAUGCUGACCGAAAUGGUGAGCGAGGAGGUGCACAUGCUACUUGGAGUCGAAGACGACAUCGACAAGAUGGACGUCAAGCUUAGGGACCUCAAGAACUUCCUUGCCGACGCUGACAGGAGAAACAUCACCGACGAGACCGUGCGAGAGUGGGUCGGCCAGCUCAAGCGCGCCAUGUACAAAGCUGCCGACAUCCUCGACCUCUGCAAGCUCAAGGCCAUGGAGCGCGGUCCAUCCAAAGUAGACUGCGGGUGCUUCAACCCCUUGCUCUUUUGCAUGCGGAAUCCCUCCCUUGCCCGCGAUAUCGGCACCCGCAUCAAGGCGCUUAACAAGAGGCUCGACGCCAUCAAGGAGCGAAGCGCUGCUUUUAGCUUCAUCAAUCUUAGUUCCUAUGAGGAUCGUGGCAUCAAUGUGCACGCCCCUCGUUCUAGUGAUGCCAGGCGUGAGACAUCAGGGGAGUUCGACCGGCAGGGUGUAGUCGGGGAGAAGAUCGAAGAAGACACAAGAAAACUGGUUGAGAUGAUGCUUUCUGAAAAAGAGAGCAACAACAAUAUCAUGGUGUUCGCUGUUGUUGGUGUUGGUGGGAUCGGACUUUGA
rnacentral:rRNA from 1 species